CUCCGGUUGAUCCUGCGGGACCCGACUGCUAUCAGAGUGGGACUAAGCCAUGCGAGUCAACAUAGCAAUAUGUGGCAUACGGCUCAGUAACACGUAGUCAACAUGCCCAGGGGACGUGGAUAACCUCGGGAAACUGAGGAUAAACCGCGAUAGGUCAUCACUUCUGGAAUGGGUAAUGACUUAAAUCUAUAUGGCCCCUGGAUUGGACUGCGGCCGAUCAGGCUGUUGGUGAGGUAAUGGCCCACCAAACCUGUAACCGGUACGGGCUCUGAGAGGAGGAGCCCGGAGAUGGGCACUGAGACAAGGGCCCAGGCCCUAUGGGGCGCAGCAGGCGCGAAACCUCUGCAAUAGGCGAAAGCUUGACAGGGUUACUCUGAGUGAUUUCCGUUAAGGAGAUCUUUUGGCACCUCUAAAAAUGGUGCAGAAUAAGGGGUGGGCAAGUCUGGUGUCAGCCGCCGCGGUAAUACCAGCACCCCGAGUGGUCGGGACGUUUAUUGGGCCUAAAGCAUCCGUAGCCGGUUCUACAAGUCUUCCGUUAAAUCCACCUGCUUAACAGAUGGGCUGCGGAAGAUACUAUAGAGCUAGGAGGCGGGAGAGGCAAGCGGUACUCGAUGGGUAGGGGUAAAAUCCGUUGAUCCAUUGAAGACCACCAGUGGCGAAGGCGGCUUGCCAGAACGCGCUCGACGGUGAGGGAUGAAAGCUGGGGGAGCAAACCGGAUUAGAUACCCGGGUAGUCCCAGCUGUAAACGAUGCAGACUCGGUGAUGAGUUGGCUUAUUGCUAACUCAGUGCCGCAGGGAAGCCGUUAAGUUUGCCGCCUGGGGAGUACGGUCGCAAGACUGAAACUUAAAGGAAUUGGCGGGGGAGCA
rnacentral:rRNA from 1 species